rnacentral:rRNA from 1 species
AGAGUUUGAUCCUGGCUCAGAUUGAACGCUGGCGGCAUGCCUUACACAUGCAAGUCGAACGGUAACGCGGGGGCAACCCUGGCGACGAGUGGCGAACGGGUGAGUAAUACAUCGGAACAUAUCCAGUAGCGGGGGAUAACCUAUCGAAAGAUGGACUAAUACCGCAUACGAUCUACGGAUGAAAGCAGGGGACCGCAAGGCCUUGCACUAUUGGAGUGGCCGAUGUCGGAUUAGCUAGUUGGUGGGGUAAAAGCUUACCAAGGCGACGAUCCGUAGCUGGUCUGAGAGGACGAUCAGCCACACUGGAACUGAGACACGGUCCAGACUCCUACGGGAGGCAGCAGUGGGGAAUUUUGGACAAUGGGCGCAAGCCUGAUCCAGCCAUGCCGCGUGAGUGAAGAAGGCCUUCGGGUUGUAAAGCUCUUUCGGUGAAGACGAAACGGUUCAUGCUAAUAACGUGAACUAAUGACGGUACUCACAGAAGAAGCACCGGCUAACUACGUGCCAGCAGCCGCGGUAAUACGUAGGGUGCAGGCGUUAAUCGGAAUUACUGGGCGUAAAGCGUGCGCAGGCGGUUUGCUAAGACAGGUGUGAAAUCCCCGGGCUUAACCUGGGAAUUGCGCUUGUAACUGGCAAGCUAGAGUGUGGCAGAGGGGGGUGGAAUUCCACGUGUAGCAGUGAAAUGCGUAGAUAUGUGGAGGAACACCGAUGGCGAAGGCAGCCCCCUGGGUUAACACUGACGCUCAUGCACGAAAGCGUGGGGAGCAAACAGGAUUAGAUACCCUGGUAGUCCACGCCCUAAACUAUGUCAACUAGUUGUCGGGGAAGAAAUUCCUUGGUAACGAAGCUAACGCGUGAAGUUGACCGCCUGGGGAGUACGGCCGCAAGGUUAAAACUCAAAGGAAUUGACGGGGACCCGCACAAGCGGUGGAUUAUGUGGAUUAAUUCGAUGCAACGCGAAAAACCUUACCUACCCUUGACAUGCUAGGAAGCCCGCAGAGAUGUGGGUGUGCCCGAAAGGGAACCUAGACACAGGUGCUGCAUGGCUGUCGUCAGCUCGUGUCGUGAGAUGUUGGGUUAAGUCCCGCAACGAGCGCAACCCUUGCCAUUAGUUGCUACAUUCAGUUGGGCACUCUAAUGGGACCGCCGGUGACAAACCGGAGGAAGGUGGGGAUGACGUCAAGUCCUCAUGGCCCUUAUGGAUAGGGCUCACACGUAAUACAAUGGUCGGUACAGAGGGCUGCCAACCCGCAAGGGGGAGCUAAUCCCAGAAAGCCGAUCGUAGUCCGGAUUGUAGUCUGCAACUCGACUGCAUGAAGCCGGAAUCGCUAGUAAUCGCGGAUCAGCAUGUCGCGGUGAAUACGUUCCCGGGUCUUGUACACACCGCCCGUCACACCAUGGGAGUGGGUUCCACCAGAAGUAGUUAGCCUAACCGCAAGGAGGGCGAUUACCACGGUGAGAUUCAUGACUGGGGUGAAGUCGUAACAAGGUA